rnacentral:rRNA from 1 species
AACGAACGCUGGCGGCAGGCCUAACACAUGCAAGUCGAACGCGAAAGGGGGCUUCGGUCCUGAGUAGAGUGGCGGACGGGUGAGUAACACGUGGAUGACCUGCCCUCGAGUGGGGGAUAACUCUUCGAAAGGGGAGCUAAGACCGCAUGAGCUCCUGGGGGCGACUCUGGGAGGAAAGCCUGAGGGUGCUGGAGGAGGGGUCCGCGACCGAUUAGCUGGUUGGUGGGGUAAGGGCCCACCAAGGCGACGAUCGGUAGCCGGCCUGAGAGGGUGGACGGCCACAUUGGAACUGAGACACGGCCCAGACUCCUACGGGAGGCAGCAGUGGGGAAUAUUGGACAAUGGGCGAAAGCCUGAUCCAGCAACGCCGCGUGAGGGAUGACGGCCUUCGGGUUGUAAACCUCUUUCAGUAGGGACGAAGCGAAAGUGACGGUACCUACAGAAGAAGGACCGGCCAACUACGUG